UACCUUUUCCUGUAAUUCAGAGCUUGCGUUCUGUGGGUUGUAUGAUAAAGCUGUAAAACAUGUAAGAAUGGUUUUGCAAGUCUGAAUCGUUGAAGGCAGCAAUAAGUGGAUUUAGAGCCUGUUCUUGAGCAGACAAAGGGAAAAAGUGUGACUCUGAUGCUGAACUUGUCAUUUUUCAUUUGACUUGUCUUGAAUGAUUUAGGAAUAGAGAGAACUAGAAAAAGAGAGAAAUAGAAUCGAUUAUUGAGCAGUCCUCAAAUGCUCACCAUAAUUCAGUGUAGAGCCAAAGGGAAGGGUGAUGGAACAGAGCUCUGUGCUUUGGAAGGAAAUAAAUUUAAACCUGAUCUCCGCACAGAGUCUCACUAACUUCUGUGGUUUUAAAAUACAAAAUACGUUUAGGAAGUGUUGGAAGUUAGUAUUUUGGGAAAGAAACGGCAGUUCCACAGAACAUUCCAUUUCACAGAGGCUCUAGGAAGGAUUCAUGUUGUAACUGCUGUCACUGCAAUCAGUUGGUGGUUCAGCCUUGAAACGUGCACUUGGCCUUCUAUAAAGCGCUGUUUUGUUUGCCUUUCAUUGCUAUGAGUCUUGAUAAAUUGGAGAAGAGCCCAAGAGAAAUUUUUCAUCCCUUGAUAUAAAAGGGAUCGGUGAAUUUUAACUUUGGAGUCCUCUAUGCUAAGGAUGCUCAGCUUACAGAUGAUGAAAUGUUCAGUAAUGGGAAAGACUCUCAUAUCCUCGUCGUCGGGCUCGGUGCUGUCCAAGAAGAUACAGAGACUAAAAAAAUCAUAAGAAGCAAAAUAUGACUGCAGGGAAAAGAAGCUGGAGAGAACAGAAUGUGAUAUUGUUAUCCUUACCCUGUAUUAGAAACAUCCGCUGUGCUUUGAUGCUGGCAGCUGCCAGGGGCUUGUUAGCUCUUUGUAGGCAGGUGUAGGUGUUCACUUGUAGGUUUUUUCUCUGGACAAGUCAAUUCAAACUUUGCUAAGCUUAUAUAUGCAAAUUACUCUCUAGCACAGUCCAGCAUGACAUUUUUGAAUGUUGUAAAAAUACCAUGUUACUUGGAAAUUGCUAAUGAUGAGAAGCUUUAGGGGAAAAUAAGAUGUCAGUGUUGGGAGAUGUGAGAAGAAUUUUGAGGGGAUGUUAGACUGAAAUAAAGCACACUUGAAGCUGGACUGGCAUGCUGGCAGAUCCCCUAUUAAACAGUAGUGCUGAGAUUAGCCUGGGGGUUGCCCAUUGUUUCUGUAGAAAUAAAUGUUUUCUGGUCUUCAGAAGUAAGCUGCUUUGAAAAGCUGGAAGGUGCAGCAUAGUGACAAUCCGUGUGCUUCGCAUUAAAAAUAGAUUUCAGAAGGGUCCUAGGCUUUUGUCUUUUCCUAGAAGUCGAUGUAAUCCUGUCGAGGAGUUUUUAAUUCUGUGCUGCCAUGUCAUCAAUCAGGGCCCUGUCGUACUAAUCAUCAUCCAGAUGCAAAACAAAAAAUCAGACCCCGUCCCAAGCACUUAGAGCCCAGAAUACGAUUUCCUCAGGCUGCCAUUUGUGUGCCAUCGGUACUCACCAUGGAAGCGAGCUGGGGAUUGUUGCACCCGUUGGGAACAAACCGCUUCUUGUCACACAGAAAUGGAAUUGGGACGACACCUCGGCCAGCCCCUCUCUGCCAUCGUCUCCUGAAUCUGCAGCAGAGCAGUUCCAGUCCAUCCGGGCACGUGCAAUCCAGUUCCUGAUGAUCUGAGCACACGGAGCAGCGCUCAGCUGCUGUGGGGGGCUCAGGGAAGGCAGAGUGUGCAUUGUCAUCUUCCUGAACCUACAGACAAAUCAAAGUGAGAAGCCACAGGGUGGAAAUCAGUUGCAUAUAUGCUAAACAAAACUUGCAGGUUGUUUUUAAGAAUUGUUUUUGCUUGUUCUUUGUUGUGCUUCUGUGCUUAGAAAACCUCCCUUUAAAAUCAGUUCAGUUCAUCAGUUGAACCUUUGUUUGCAGACCCUCAGUGAGCAGAAUUUGUUGCAGACUCAGUGCACGCUGUGCCGGCCUCCCGGGAGUGUGAGGAGCUCAUGUGUGCUACUUUUUGCUUUAGGACGCUCUGAGGUAUUUAUUCCUUUUGGGAUACGUGAUGAGAAUUCCCAAGAGAGGUAGUUAUAAGGUAUGACA